rnacentral:tRNA from 1 species
GUUAAUGUAGCUUAACUUCAAAGCAAGGCGCUGAAAAUGCCUGGAUGGGCACCUAGCCCCAUAAACA